CGCGAGCAGCGGCGGGCCGCGGGACUGCGCUUCUAGCGGCUGGGAGGGGCUCUGGCCGCGGAGCACCGGUGUCCACCCUACCUCGGGGUCGAGGGGCUAGUUCCCCGGCCACGCCGGCCGCAGCACGGACCAGAAAGGAAGGCAAAACUGAGGCUCAGCAAAGUGACAUGGCUCACCCACGAGUCUGGCCUCUGGAAAGAACAGACUUGGCAGAAGUGAGAUGGGAGAGUGCCAAGGACAGACUCCUGGCAGAGCCACGUAAGUGCCUGGGCCACAGCAGAGGAUGAGAACCAGGACACAGCAGUGUCUCCCAAAGAGAGAAGGCAGGAGCUCCUGGUCCACCUUGGUCUCCUGGCAUCAGCAUCCCUGCAUCCCUGCUCAGACUCCAUAAAGAACUUAGAGAGUGCCCUCCCAGAGGCCAGCAGACUCCUUUACAGGGCAACUGGGAGCAUCGGCCAGGGUUCGAUAACGCCUUGAACGUCACCCAUUUCCUACCUGGCCCACGUGGUCCAGCCCAACAUCCCGGAGGUGACGGCCGCAAUGGAGGCAAGGCUGCCAGCCAGCACGAUGCUAAAGCAGUUGAAGCUCAGCAGUCCCAUGAUUUGUUCAAGGCCCCAGCCAGCCCCUGCCAGGAGACUGUGCCCUCAGGGCCCCAGCCAGGGACAGCAAGUCCUGAGAAGAGGCCCCAGGGGACUGAGAGUGGCCUUGGAGGCGGCAUCCUGUCUUUGUCCGCACCCUCACGCCCUGGCUCUCUCUUACCCCAGCAAGGUUCACAAUUCCCACUCCCAGAGCUCCCCACUGAUCUGCACCCCACCUGCCUCCUCAGCCCUGUGUCCCCCACCGCACUCACUGGACCACAGCUCCCAGUACAUCUGCAGCCUGGCACUGUCCACAUGGGCACCUGAGGUGGUGGCCGCCCGGCAGAAGUAGGCUUUCAUGGAAAAAUCUUCGACUUGAAGAAAGUGAAGGAGUAUUUGGAGGUGAAGGCAUCCUCUGGGGCAUCCUCUUACAGAUGGCUCUGCUGACUGGUCAGUUUGACCCUCAGGGCCAAGAGGCCUUCUCUUCAUGGUCCAAAAACCAUCGCGGGGCCAGAAGCCGGCCUCAUGUGGGGAAGUGGGAGUCCAGGGCUGACAUGUCAUCACCCUUUCUUUUUGCUCCCUUUGUGAAGGGAAAUGAUCUUGACUUAUAA